rnacentral:rRNA from 1 species
GACGAACGCUGGCGGCGUGCUUAACACAUGCCAGUCGAACGGAAAGGCCCUGCUUUUGUGGGGUGCUCGAGUGGCGAACGGGUGAGUAACACGUGGGUAACCUGCCCUUGACUUUGGGAUAACUUCAGGAAACUGGGGCUAAUACCGGAUAGGAGCUCCUGCUGCAUGGUGGGGGUUGGAAAGUUUCGGCGGUUGGGGAUGGACUCGCGGCUUAUCAGCUUGUUGGUGGGGUAGUGGCUUACCAAGGCUUUGACGGGUAGCCGGCCUGAGAGGGUGACCGGCCACAUUGGGACUGAGAUACGGCCCAGACUCCUACGGGAGGCAGCAGUGGGGAAUAUUGCACAAUGGGCGGAAGCCUGAUGCAGCAACGCCGCGUGCGGGAUGACGGCCUUCGGGUUGUAAACCGCUUUCGCCUGUAACGAAGCGUGAGUGACGGUAAUGGGUAAAGAAGCACCGGCUAACUACGUG